AUUGAACGCUGGCGGCAGGCUUAACACAUGCAAGUCGAGCGGAGAGAGGUAGCUUGCUACUGAUCUUAGCGGCGGACGGGUGAGCAAUACUUAGGAAUCUGGCUAUUAGUGGGGGACAACAUUUCGAAAGGGAUGCUAAUACCGCAUACGUCCUACGGGAGAAAGCAGGGGAUCUUCGGACCUUGCGCUAAUAGAUGAGCCUAAGUCGGAUUAGCUAGUUGGUGGGGUAAAGGCCUACCAAGGCGACGAUCUGUAGCGGGUCUGAGAGGAUGAUCCGCCACACUGGGACUGAGACACGGCCCAGACUCCUACGGGAGGCAGCAGUGGGGAAUAUUGGACAAUGGGCGAAAGCCUGAUCCAGCCAUGCCGCGUGUGUGAAGAAGGCCUUUUGGUUGUAAAGCACUUUAAGCGAGGAGGAGGCUACCGAGAUUAAUACUCUUGGAUAGUGGACGUUACUCGCAGAAUAAGCACCGGCUAACUCUGUGCCAGCCGCCGCAGUAA
rnacentral:rRNA from 1 species